GUGUGGUUCAUGACUGGGGUGAAGUCGUAACAAGGUAGCCCUAGGGGAACCUGGGGCUGGAUCACCUCCUUAAACGA
rnacentral:rRNA from 1 species